GAUGAACGCUGGCGGCGUGCCUAAUACAUGCAAGUCGAGCGAACGGACGCGAAGCUUGUGUCUCUGACGUUAGCGGCGGACGGGUGAGUAACACGUGUAAAACCUACCUAUAAGACUGGUAUAACCUCGGGAAACCGGCUCUAAUACCGGAUGAUAUUUUGAAGCGCAGGGUUCAAUAGUGAAAGACGGCCUUGCUGUCACUUAUAGAUGGAUCUCCGCUGCAUUAGCUAGUUGGUAAGGUAAAGGCUUACCAAGGCAAGGAUGCAUAGCCGACGUGAGAGGGUGGUAGGCCACACGGGAACGGGGACGCGGUCCAGACGCCUAAGGGACGGAGCAGACGGGAAUCUUACGCAAUGGGCGAGAGCCUGACGGAGCGACGCGGAGCGAGAGAUGAAGGUCUUGGGAGCGUAAAACUCUGUUAUUAGGGAAGAACAGAUUUGUAAGUAGCUGUACAGAUAUUGACGGUAACUAAUAAGAAAGCAACGGCUAACUACGUG
rnacentral:rRNA from 1 species